UCAGCAGCACUCAAGGCAGCGCCCGGGAACUUCUGAUACCAAACUCCGCAAACAGUGACGCAGACCCCAUGCUUGCAGACCACACGCUUCCAUACAGACCUCAGCUGCCAAGCGCACUGUGAGCCCCACAGGUGGACCACCGUGAAGGUAGAGGCGCUACACGGCCCCACGCACUCCGCAGACCCAGCAUCGCGACCUCGGCAGCCCACCCCACCCAACCGGGUCCGCCGCGGCGGCCAGGCGGCAGGCAGCAAGCGUUUGGCCUGCGGAGAGGCAAGCGGUUCAGCCAGCUCCCCUGAGCCUGCCCAGGAAGCUGCGCAUCACCCCUCAGGAGAGGUGGUGCCUCCAGUUCCACCCUAAGCACCGUGCCAUCAACCCCUCCUGUAUCUGCAUCUGCAGGGCUUGUAGUAUGUACGUUCAAUUCCUUCAGCAAUGUUCAAUGAAUGAGCGCCUACUGUGUACCAAGCGCUGUUCUAGGCACGGGAGAUACAAAAGGCCAAAAUUCCUGCUCUCAGGGUUUGCCAGCAGUCUAAAUGGACAAGUAUUUGUUGCACCCUUCUUUAGAGUCUGACACUGCAGAGCAGGGGAGAUGAAUCGCUGCAGUGAGUGAUGUCAAGGACCUCAUCCAAGACUAGGGAGACACCAUGUUUGCAUAAAUACCUUGAUCUGCCUUUGAGAAAAACAUGGAGUGAGUUAAAGGAAUUCAGAUGUGGGAGCAGUGAAAGGCAUCAGAGAUUAGUAAAAUAACAAGAUGGGUGCAGUUACUUUCCUUCAGGAUCAGAGUCAGCGUGGCAUUUGCUAAAGACAAAGUGGUGCUUCUAACAAGCCAAAGAGCUCGAGAGGUUCCAAUCUGCCCCUUAGAGCCAUAGGCUACACACAGUGACUUCUUUCCAGAGUGCAGUUUGUAAGGGUGGUAGGGAUAGAGUCACUUUACGGUGAAGAAUCCUGACAAACACCACCUCAACCAGAUGAUCAAGGCCACAUUAUCAGUGAUUAAUCAUGUUGGUAUUACAAACUCUGGACAUUAUGAAUACAACAAAUACAAUAUGACUCUGAAAGGCAGAGAGAAGGAGGCAGACUGGCUAGGGACCUGGGACAUGAGGAACGACAGAGCAACAUCAGAAGAAUGAUGUUUCAUUCAGAAAGGAGAAUGUUUUUGGCAGAGUGAAGAGCGUGUUGCAGGGUCUGUGGCAGGAAAGCGUAGAGCAUGUUCCAGAGCAUGUAAAGAAUGUUACAGAGAAUGAAGGAAAAAAGAAAAAGCAGACAGAAGAGAGAGGACACACAGGGGUUUUUAAAAAAGUAUUUUAUAUAAUAAUAUGAACCAACCUAAAGCACACAAUGUCUAACACAAAGUAAAUGUCAAUACAUGCUCUACCCUUAAGUAGCAAAUGUCCCUGCAUGGCCAAACACUGAAGCCUUGCAUGUGUAAAUGUUUAAAAAUGUCCAAAGCUUUCAUUACAUAACUACCGUCUAUGACAUCCACAGACUAUCCAAAAUGGCAUUGUUCACUUUUAUAAAAAUAGACGUUAAAUGAUUUUUCUGUGAGUUAGCAUCCCAACAUCUAGACCUGCAAUGGAUCCAGGAUGUUAUGUCUUGGGUGGGGGUAGCUGGAAGGGGAGGUACAGAAGGAUUAUCUCAGACAGUGUACAGAUAUUCUGUAACUCUUACAAAUUACACUCAAAGUUGUCACACAAAUUGACGUGAUAUGGCAUUCUAGUCCAAAAUCCUUGCAUAAUUGGGCACAGGAUAAUUUGUCUAAAUCCUUUGGUAUGCACUGGUUUAAUUUAAAUAACCUUUUGUAAAAUAGGUUUCCUUCCAUUUUAUACAUAUUCAUGAAGACAUGCUGUCAGCAUUGAAAGAUAGCCGAGCAGAAUAAAGUCCUAUCACACUGACAAGACAAUUUCCUUGGGUAAUGUAAUCAGAUAGUACAGCUGCAUUCCUUGUUAAUCUGAAUUUAGUUCAAAUAGCUAAAGAGCUUUAUUCACUUUGUGAUAAAAAUUAUACACUUGCAAAAUAAGUUUUGGACAAUUCACAUAAAUUUAUUUUUGUAAUAAUUAUUUAUUGCAAGAGACUUUUAAAAAAUACAUUGAAGUGGCAUUAGAUCAAGAAGAAAUAACCUGAUUUCUGAAACUGUACUUCAUCAAAUGUACUAGGCUUCCAUAAUAGCAGUAUUAGGGUGUCUGCUUGGUUAAUUAUGCAGGUUUUUACUUUAUUUUUUGCCUUACUUGGAAAAUUUACCAACAUAAUUUUUCAACACACUUUUUAAGCCAGAUCAUUUUAAACGAGAUUCCUUUAUCUAAUCCUUAAGACUGAGUGACAAGAGGAGACAGAAAGGAAGGAGGCUUUAACGCUAAUUUGCCUAGGAUUAUUUUUUAGCAUGAAAAUUGGACAACUGAUGAUAUAGGGCAGUGUUUCUCAGAUGUAUCAGAUCAUGAGACUUAACUGCAAUGCUUGUUUAAAAUUAUGGAAUCCCAGGUCUCAUUCCUACAGGUUCUGAUUCCUGAGGUUUGGGAUGUGUCUUAGGAAUGUGUAUUAUAUUAAAAGCACUUAUUGAGUGCAGUGUAGGAAAUACGUGGCAUCAUUGAAAGAACUUUGACCUAGUCUUAGUGUUCAAAACACCAGUUCUUCUGUGCGUGCUUACCUGAGUCAUGUAAUCUCACUGGGUCUAAAUCUCCUCAGUUGCAAAGGUACAAAAACAACAAAAAACAAAAAGAGUUUGGCCGUAGUCCACAAACCCCAUGAAGACAGGCGCCAGGCAGAUUUUGUUCACUGCCUGAUCCCCUGCACCUAGCCUGCUGCCUGUCACAGAGCAGUCUCUCUGUUAGUAUUUGUCGACUAAUUCACUAUAUGGAUGAGCUACAAAGCUCUUCUUGGCUCUAAGAUUAUAUGACUUUAAAACGAAGAAGUAAUAAAUGCAUUUGGUCUGCCAAUUACAAAAUAAUAAUUAUUCUCAAAAAUAAAACAAGAUAUAAACUGAAAAAGGCCCUGCUUGUUUUUACUGGUUUCCGGGCUGCACAUUCCUGGUGAGCAUUUCAAAGGAUGUGAGUUGAGUAAUUUGAUUUUAUGUCUUCCUUACUGGACUGUGACUGUUAAAGGUAAUGCAAUUCAUUACUGUGUUAACACAAUGUUUAGUUCACAGUGUAUGCUCAGUAAAAGUAAGUGGAAUCUGGAAAACUCAGUAAAUUCUAUGGAGAAUGAUGCAGAAGAAUGUAAGUUCUCUUGCUCUGUGGACAGGUAUACUUAGUCACACCAUUACUUUUAGGACUUUGCUUAUUUUAGUCCUGAAGCAUACGUUAAGCAACAAAUCCAGAAUUGUCAGAAAUGUUCCCUGGCACAAGUAGAUUGUGCAGAAGUGAGUGUUAAAAACUGAUUAUGAAGGAAAAAUAAAUCCUGAAAACUCUAUUUAUAAAAGGCUGGUCACAGUUGCUCACACCUCUAAUCCCAGCACUUUAGGAGGUGAGGCAAUCUGAUCACUUGAGGUCAGGA